rnacentral:rRNA from 1 species
AAUCAACGCUGGCGGCGUGCCUCAGACAUGCAAGUCGAACGAUUAAACUUUCCUUCGGGAAAGAUAUAAAGUGGCGCACGGGUGAGUAACACGUAGGUAAUGUACCGAAGGGUGGGGAAUAACUUAGGGAAACUUAAGCUAAUACCGCAUAAUGCAGCGGCUCGACAUCGGGACAGUUGUUAAAGGAGCAAUCCGCCUUUUGAGCAGCCUGCGGCAGAUUAGCUAGUUGGUAAGGUGAUGGCUUACCAAGGCUACGAUCUGUAACCGACCUGAGAGGGUGGUCGGUCACACUGACACUGAAUAACGGGUCAG